rnacentral:miRNA from 1 species
AGAACUGUGUUCGGACAUCAAU